UGUUUUGUCCGGUGAAAGAAAUAUAUCUGGGGGAGUCAUAGUUUUGUUCUUCACUUUCUCCUGGUGAUUUUUCUGCUUUCUUCGGAAAUUAAAAGAAACGUAAUAAAAAAUCUCAAUCAGUGAACUCGAUUGAGACAUAGCUAUAUCAAACUACUGAUGCCGUUUAUGUUGGUUGGCGGUGUAAGAAAAUUCUCUUGACGUUCUCUGAAUUUGGAAAGAGAUCUGGUGCAGAUGAACACAAGUUACAUUUCUGGAGAUUGAACUUUGAAUUUUGCUAAAACCAGUGGAUGCUGGCAACUUAUGCAAGAUCACGGGGGGUGUUCGUGCUUGCGAUGUUACUUUCUUUUGGUUGUAUCUAUUUUCAUUCCUAUUGCAUUUUUAUGGGAUGUCAUACACGGGUUCUAACUUUCACAUUUUAUGGUCCCAUGCCCGAAUAUCGACUUCGAUCCAAGGGAGUGACUCAUUUCUUCAAUUCAUUUCGACCAAGCUACACAACAUAAACAUAACAUUAAUUGUAUUUUUAUUGUUAAAAUACCACAUACUGACUAUGGCGAUCGCUCUCACUGAUAUUUGAAUGUGAAACACGGUGCUUGGCAUUUUGGACACUUCAUUUGAGUAGUUCUUUUUAUUUGGAGUGUAGAUGUCAGUAACAAGUCUACUAGCUUACUCGUUUUUUUUUCAAA